GAUGAAGAACGUAGCGAAAUGCGAUACUUGGUGUGAAUUGCAGAAUCCCGUGAACCAUCGAGUCUUUGAACGCAAGUUGCGCCCGAAGCCACUAGGCCGAGGGCAUGCCUGCCUGGGCGUCACACGCCGUUGCCCCCCCAUCUACUCCUUCGGGAUUGCGGGGGGGCGGAUGAUGGCCUCCCGUGCGCCUAGCCGCGCGGUUGGCAUAAAUACCAAGUCCUCGGCGACGCACGCCACGACAAUCGGUGGUUGCGAAACCUCGGUUGCCCGUCGUGUGCGUUCGUCGCGCAUCGAGGGCUCGAAAAAAUGCUCGGCUCCGGCUGGGCUUUCAACGCGACCCCAGGUCAGGCGGGGUUACCCGCUGAAUUUAAGCAUAUCAAUAAGCGGAGGA
rnacentral:misc_RNA from 1 species